AAUAUUACAUAGUACGAUUUGUUAAUUUCGUGAGUGAAGAGCCUUAAGACUUUGUCACAUUAAAUUGUCACGUAUAGUGUCAUAAUAUCUACGAAAUGACAGUUCACCGUGACAAAUCUUGUUGUAAUUUUUUGUUUAAACCUUUUUGUUUUUAAAACGACUUCUACGGUUUUAUCUCGCGUCUGUUAAUUUUAUUUCAUUGUUUCGGGCAUUUCGAAUGCUUUAAACAGUUUUCUUGGUCACGGAUGAUUAAAUUGUUGUAUACUAGCGACCCGCCCACGCUUCGCUUCGGAAACUGUAAUUUAUUAUUGAUUUCUCCACUAUUUAAUGGAUGUUAUUAUACAUAUAAACCUUCCUCUUCAAUCACUCUAUCUAUUAAAAAAAAACGCAUCAAAAUCCGUUGCGUAGUUUUAAAGAUUUAAGCAUACAUAGGGACAGACAGAUAUAGGGACACAGAAAGCGACUUUGUUUUAUACUAUGCAGUGAUUCACAUUUGAAUAUCGCUAAAUAAUAAAAUGACAGUAAUAAAUGUGAGAUUAAACUGUGAAAGCAGUUCUAAUCGUGUCUGCGACUCGUGUGAUGUAUGCCGCCCACCUGCUGUACAAAGUUUCCCGAAAUUCCUGAUCCAUUCUGAAUGGAUUCCUCGAUUCACGAAUAGCCAAAUCGCUCUACGAAACUACAUAAGCUAUCUAGCAAGAGGCCAAGGUAGAUCUUCAUAUUUUCUCUUGACAAUCGAUUAGAUCAACCAUUGAUAGCAGUUUUUCAGACGAAACCUUAACUCGCUUGCUAUUAUCAGUAACGUGUUUAGAUAAAAUUUAGUCGAACGUGAUUAUGAUAACCAUUAUGUCGUGACAGACGUUCGUUAAGACAUCCGCAUCCUCACAAUCUAUGCGAGAUAAAAUAUAUUAUCAAUUGAUAAUAUUAUAAAGCUGAAGAGUUUGUUUGUUUGAACGCACUAAUCUCAGGAACUACUGGUCCGAUUUGAAAAAUUCUUUCAGUGUUAGAUAGCCCGUUUAUCGAGGAAGGCUAUAGGCUAUAUAUAACAUCACGCUAAGACCAAUAAAAGCGGAGCACCAAUAAAUAAUGUUUCAAAAUCGGUUUUUUCCCUUUUGAGAGCUUCUGCUGCGUGCGCUGCAGAAACGGUUAAAGUUUCGCAAAAGUAAUGUAUGACAGAAUUGUUCCCCUUUAAAAUAUCGAAAAAAAAGUCCGCGACAGCGUAUGUCUAUAUAUUAAGGUUGGCUCACUAUAACGUUUUUAUGCUAACCAAAUUUGUUCUACAAUAAAGCAUUAUUUGUGAACGCGGACGAAGUCGCGGGCAAAAGCUAGUCAAUUGAUAAAACGAAAAUAAUAGACUCGCUGUUUGUUGACUUUGACGUAUUUAAAAUUACAAACGUUUCCGUAAUUACGUACGAAUAAUAAUUAAUUAUUUCAGUUUUAUUAUGAUAAUUACAUAUUUCAGAUAUUACUACUGACUUUUUUCGCUUAUCAUUAAAAUAAAAUUUACGAUAUAAUUUCGCGUUUUUUUAUCAUCAUACUACCAGACGUGACAGACGUUAUCCUGUCCUAAAUCUGAAAAUUAUAAAAUCUUUUUCUCUUCGAAAAUCUCUCUUAGAAAAAUAUUAUUAAUAAGAAUUUUUUUUAGAGGACCGAAUGGAAAAUGUAAAUCAUUCUCGAUUUCGUUGGAAUACACACAAAAAAAACCAUCAAAAUCGGUCCAGUCGUUUAGAAGGAGUUAACUAAUCUAUCUAAAACUAAUCUAAUAUACACACGGACAGAAGCAUUACAUAAUAUAUUAAGAUUAUAUGCGACAUUUAGAAGACUUCACAGUUUUCGUGGCUACUAAUCCGCGAAAACUGCAAAGAAUUCGAAAAGUCGUAUUGGUUUUCUUCUAGUGUUUCAAAAUUUUAUGAGUGUACUUGACACUGGCUAAUGCACAAGCCGUGCCGGAGCAAAAAAAGAAGAAGAUAAUCAAUAUAGACUUAGAAGCUUACCUAGAUUGCACAGCUGCGGCACGUAGACGGGCAGCCAUUCCGGUUCGAUGGCCGUUACGUUGCUCAUCACCAUCUUCCUUCGUUCCUCGGCGCCCGUCUCGUAUAGCUGCUGGUACACCACCCACUCCGGUAUCGUUUUGCGGAGCACCGAAGCCGAGUGCAGAUGCACGGGCUCCUCCAGGUCGCCGCAGUGGUAAGCGUACUUGAAUUUCCUUUUGUCUUCGCCUGACGUCGAUUAUGUUAAUCUAUACAUCGACGCUUGAAAAGCAAACGUGACCAAGCGACAAUAACUGCUUUAUACAUAAAUGAUAGGCAAUAACCAUAUUCGAUGCGCAAAAAAAAAUAUUUCUAGGUCUAUUAAAAUAAUUUCUAUCCUACAGCUAAAUUCGUUAAAAUAGAUUUUUUUUCAGAUAUUUCAACUUUAAAUUAAUCUACUGUAAAGUUCACGCAUUGUCGCUUAGUAAUGUUUGCCUUUCAAGCGUCGAUAUUAAUACGUGAAGCAAAAAAAUUUUUACGAAAAUUUCACGGACGGGGAAGUAUGAAAUAUCCCACACUUAUAGAGAAUAUAGAGAAGAAGUGCACAAUGCGAAUAUUUUUUUUUUUAAUUAUGCUUAAAAAAUACAUUAAAUCAAUAAAAAUAAAAAUUACACAUACUACAAUGUAUUUAACACACACACACGCAUGCAUACUAUUUGUUUAUUGUCAAACUAUAUAGAGGUAAUGCCUUAUCUUUAUAUAUAUUACGAUAAAUGUACUUGGGAAAAGUACGCUUUUACCGUAAAUGUGCACAUUUGCCAAAAAUAUAGGUAUAUGGGAACUGUAUAUAAUUUAUAUGUACAUUUCCCGGAAAAUGUGUACUCUUGCCUUUACGUUUUGAUAAAAUUGCACACUCUUACCUUCAUGUUUUAAGAAAAGUUGGAAUACAAAUAAAUUAAUAGUGUUGUCGCAGUAAAAAAAUAUUUAUUUAAAUAAACAUAAUACAAAAGGCUUUAAUAACGGAAAUAAUUUUAAUUAAAAAAUGUAAAUGACAAACAAAACAUACUUUUCUUUGCAUAAUAAUAUUGUAGUGGUGCGCACCACAUUACUAGCACUUGCGAUUUCGGAUUUUGUAUGCCAUGGUCACAUUUACCAAAAGGACAUGGUCAUUGUGAAUUCAAAGUAAGUAUUCUUUGAAAUUGUAAAUGUUAGUUGAAUGCACAUUACCCAAACGAGGAGGCAAAUGUGCACAUAUACCGGAAAAUGUGUACAUUUGCCGCAAUCUCUACUUAUAUCGUAACAUAAGAUAUAUACAAAGAUAAGGCAUUACACACGCUACCAUUUUUAGGGUAAGAUCACAAUUGAUGAUUUAGUUCGACCUUUAGUAGGUCUGGUGGUAGGACCUCUUGAAGUCCGCGCGGGUAGGUACCACCACCCUGCCUAUUUCUGCCGUGAAGCAGUAAUGCGUUUCGGUUUGAAGGGUGGGGCAGCCGUUGUAACUAUACUGAGAUCUUAGAACUUAUAUCUCAAGGUGGGUGGCGCAUUUACAAGGUGGGUGGCGUAUAGUAGUUGUCUAUGGGCUCCAGUAACCACUUAACACCAGGUGAGCUGUGAGCUUGUCCACCCAUCUAAGCCAUAAAAAAAGUAACUAAUAAAGAGCGUGCGUGAUAAAUAUACGGUGUAAAUAGAUUCAAUGGUCAAAUUUUAAUUGAAUAUAAUUAAAGGUUCUCUUACGAUUUAAUUACAGGUUUAAUUUUUAAUUAAGAUUUACUCUUUUCCUGACGUCACCUUAAGCCGUAAACGCAGUUCUAAUUAAGUCUACGACUAAUUAUGUCUAUGUCUACGAUGGCGAUAAGGAAAAUACUAGAAGUAUAUAUAUAAAUAAGUACCUUCUUUGACCUCGUCCAGGCCGAUUUUCCUGCCGACCUGAUCUCCGAGUCCACUAAGCACCAAUUGCCUGAGCAGCCUGGCUUGCUUUUCAUCUGGGGGCUUCAUCUCGGGGUCGACGGAGACGUCCACGCCGGCAACACUGAGAUUUAUCUCCGACGCCAGCUGCUUACGUAUCUUGCGUAUUUCUUUGAUCGCCUUAAGCAAUAUGUAGAUGUUGACAAAUAAUGAAGGCUUCAACUUAAUCUGUCUUAAGUUAUAGAUUGUGUUGGGUCUUAAGUGGAUACACUGAGCCCGUAGACAGCAACAACGUAAAUACCGUCACCCACUUAGAGACAAUAGUUCUACAUCUGUUUUUACAGUACAACGGCCCCUUCUCCCCUUCCCCCCACUCCUCAAACCGAAACGCAUUACUGCUUCACGGCAGAAAUAGGCAGGGUGAUGACACCCACAAGAGAUCCUACCACCAGUAAUUACGUAAAUUAUAAUUUUGCGGGUUUUGAUUUUUUUUACACGACGCUCUAUUCCUUCACUGUGGAAGUCAAUCGUGAACAUUUGUCAAGAACGUAUUUCAUUAGAAAAAUUGAUACCCCCGGCAGCCUCGCCUGAUACGAAUGGACAGGACGUCUUAUCCUUUAGACUACGACGGCUUUGAAAUUAUUUUUUAAGGGAUUUUAUGACCCGGUAACUAAGACAUUUAGGUCAAGUCUUAUUUUAAUUUUAAUGAUAACUUUUUUAUAUGAAAAAUGAUAUUAUGAAACGAAAUGAAGUUGAUUAUUAUGAAACAUGGCAUGAAAUGAAAUGAAAUGACUUUGAAUGACUUUUUCAGUGAACUUUUUGGAGGAUCACGAGAAGUUACGUCCAGCGGCUUUGUUUCAUUUUCCCACAUUUGUCACACUUUCACAGAUACUAAGCAGUUAAUAAACCACCAUUAUUACACAUUUAAACCUGAAACAUUUAGACCUAAGAAACACUAAAUAAACAAAAUAAAACAAAUCACACAACUUCACUCCUCGCGUUCCCGCCAAAAAGUCAACGACUUUGAAACUUUCGAGUCAAUGUUGCCAUACCUUUUCCCUCAAUCCGUAUUUAGCACAGAAUAGCUGUUCUUCACCCUUCCGAUGUGCAUAUUCAGCCGCGCCCACAGCACGGAGCAAUACUCCGGGGUCUCCCAGCAGCAGCGUGUGUCCCGUCGCGGGCCAAUUGUCAGCUUUCCCGGACAUCACCUGUAAAUUUGCGUCCCUUAGGUAUAUAUUUCUUCCAAAUCUUGUGUGACCUAAAAUAUGACGACCCUACCUCAUCGCGUGGGUUUCAUUAGGAUAAUGAGCAGCAGUAUACUCUGAUACAAAAUUCUCCAAAAAAAUUCAAAUAGUAUAUGAGAGGAAGUGUAAAAAUAGCCCCAGUGAUUGAUAAAUUAAAUGGUUUAGCGUGGUAUGGACGUGUGAUGCGUAGAGGGGAGAUGCAUGGGACUAGAUGUAUGGAAAUGGUAGUGCAAGGUAGAGGUGAAGAGUUCGAAGAAGACAUGGAUGGAGUGUGUGAAUGACGAUGUGAGAGAGGGAGAGGAGUGAGUGUUGAGAUGACGGCUGAUAGAGAAGAAUGGAAUAGAAAAAUUCGCUUUGCCGACCCCACCUAGUGGGAUACGGUGGAGAAAAAGAAGAAGCGUAUUUCUGACAUGAAGCAGUAACGCGAAGUGUUACUUGAAAUCCUAGUGCACGAUCGGAUUUGAAGACUUAUACUACAAAUUAUUAUAAUGAACUAAUCAAUUGCCAUCACAUGUCCGUCUGUCUGUCUUCGACACCGAUAAACAUCCUAUAUGUACUUAAAAUAUCUAAAUAUAUAUAAAAUGGGCAUUAAUGGUGUAAGUUCAUAAGCCUGCACAGUAAGAUACCAUUAUUCGGCCUAUUACUGUAAUAAUAAUGCAUUACAGUUUGAAAAGAGGUAAAUCAUCGUAUAGAUUCGAUAUCGUAUCUCAACGUAACUGGUGGAAUUCACGUUGCGAUCUCUCUAUGGGCCGUAAUCAAAAGAUUAACUUAAAUAACUUUUUACUGGUGGUAGGACCACAUGUGAGUCCGCACGGGUAGGUACCACCACCCUGCCUAUUUCUGCCGUGAAGCAGUAAUGCGUUUCGGUUUGAAGGGUGGGGCAGCCGUUGUAACUAUACUGAGACUUUAGAACUUGUAUCUCAAGGUGGGUGGCGCGUCUACGUUGUAGAUGUCUAUGGGCUCCAGUAACCACUUAAAACCAGGUGGGCUGUGAGCUCGUCCACCCACCUAAGCAAUAAAAAUAAAAAAACUUACCUCUGGUACUGUUAAAGCGGCCACCAAAGCUAUAGUGUACGGUAACAAGGCCUGCUGAUGACUGAGCGCCAACAUUUUCCCGUAACGCGGAAGCAAAGGGAACGCCGAAACAGCCUUACCUAAAGGCGUCACUUUUAGUAUCUGUGGAAAAGAAAAUAUUUUCACAUCAUUCGUUUUUUUUUUUUUAAUGUAUUUCAAAAGAGUCUAUUAUGUUGUAUUUAUAUCGAGGGGCAAAGGGUUAUUUAGUUUAAAAGACCUUUCUACAACAUGACAAGAGUGCCGUUUGAAGUUUAAAAUUUGGAAAAAUAAAUCAUCACAAAAAAACUUCUUCAGCUAUUUGAAUGAGGUAAACUUAAUUGAAAUUCAAUUUAAAACAUCGGACUUUUGAUGCUAAUACCAAAUAAAUCGGACCUUUACUUACAAAGACAAAUGUCGCGUAUUAAGCUAAAUGUUGUUUAAACCAAAUUAUUAAUCAACCCUCGAUAUGAAUGUCUCAAUCAGUUUUUAUAAAAGCCUGUAUAGGUGUUAUUUUUCGACUUCCUCCAAAUAGGUUCAAAUACUUCUACCUAGAUAGUGGUAUUUGCAGUCGCCACAAGUUUUUUUUUUAUCGCAAACUAUUUUAUAGUUUUCCUUGAAGCGAGCCAGUAACUUUCCGACGGGCCACGGCAGUUAAGCAUUCGUGUGCCUGAUUCGGUUAAAUGGCGCUCAACAAAACAUGUCCGAUUACGGUGGUCAAUACUUUUUUUUUUGUUGCUUAGAUGGGUGAACUAGCACACAGCCCACCUGGUGUUAAGUGGUUACUGGAGCCCAUAGACAUCUACAACGUAAAUGCGCCACCCACCUUGAGAUAUAACUUCUAAGGUCUCAGUAUAGUUACAACGGUUGCGCCUCCAUUCAAACCGAAACGCAUUACUGCUUCACGGCAGAAAUAGGCAGGGCGGUGGUACCUACCCGUGCGGACUCACAAGAGGUCCUACCACCAGUAAAUCGUUGAUUACUAAUAAUUAUUCGACCUCCUCUUGGCAAUUCCUGCUUGCGUUCUUCGAGUCGUGCCUCUCGAGUAUCCCGAGAGUUUCAAGGCGUUUUUCGGCCAAACGUAAUUGUAAACGAUCCGGCGCCGUCGGGAACGGAAAAUUGACAACCUGCCAAAUAAAAAAAGAUUACUUAAUAAAACUUAACAUACACACACAUCAAUCAAUAUCCGGGUCAGCGAGUCGAGAUCACUUUUAUUAAGCGACUCGACUGCAUAGUCGGCGACCAUUUUCAGGAAUCUCCUUUUUUUUAGUAUGGCAAUCGGUUUUUUGCGUUUCCGUUGUUGCCAUAAUUAUUAAUUUAAAUUAUAAGUUUGAACAUUAUUAUCGUUCUAUUGUCAAAGACUUUACUUCUAUGAUCACAAUUUCGCUAAGGCUACACUAUAGACAAAUAAUAUUAAAGAAAAACAAUAUUAAUCUAUUCAAAAGUUGACCACAGACUUUAACAAGUCAAAUACACGUUAGUGUGUUUCCUUUGGGUUACCAUUGGGUUAAUUUAUUUUUUAUGCAUUAUUUUAAGAAAAAUAUUAGCAUUCUGCACUCCUUCACUAUAUUAUGUAUAAAUGUGAGAAAUUUCAUACUACUCCGUCCUCGCAAUUUUCCUAAGGGAUACAAAGUUUUUGCUUCACGUAUUAAAUAUAUAGAUUUUAAAAUAAUGACGUCAUCAGACCUUAUCGAUGCCCAUGCACUUCAUCAUGAGGACCAGGUCGUCGACGGGCCUGCGGCAGAGGUCAGGCGCGUGCUGCGGCGGGCAGUCAUGCUGGUAGACCGCGCUGCUGUACAGCCGGUACACGUGGCCGGCGCACACCCGCCCCGCGCGCCCCGCCCGCUGCCCGGCGCUGGCCUGGCUCGUCCACACAACGCGCCACGCGCUCGCGCCCGUCACGUGGUCGUGUACCCUGCGACACACGAUCCACCACGGAUGCAGACGCUACAGAUAUCGCUUUCGGACCUUUAUCGACAACGUAUUUAAUGGCCGGUAUCGUUAGAGACGUCUCCGCGACAUCCGUGCUGACCACGCACAGCCUGGCGCCCACCGGGGGAGGUUCGAAGACCCGAGCUUGCUUGUUCGAGUUUAGCAUAGAGUACAGAGGCAAGACCCAUAGAGGUUGACGACACGACUUUAUUUCCGGCAUCAGGGAGUCUUCCUCUGCGUCUGCGUUUAAAAAUAUAUUAUAACGAGGUGUGAAAGGAUAUUUGAUUUAUGCGAUAUUCCACUUAAUACGCAACAUUUAUCUAUGCAUAUUUUUAGUAUUUAUUUGUAGAUAAUCGUAGGUAACUCUAUCUUAUAUUAUAUUUAUUUUUCACAUGUGUAUAUAAGGAAAUUAUUUUUAUGUAAGUUUAUUAAGAUAUAGCACCGUCCAUGCUAGUUUGUUUAUUCCUCUCCCUGCAAGGUUGCCUGGAAGAGAUCGCUUUCAGCGGUAAGGCCGCCAAUUUAUGUCACCGUCUAUUUUUUGCUUACUCUGAAACUUGUCUAUUUUUUUCAAAGAUAAUAUUAUUAAUACGCUUUCUUUAUAUAACUCAAUUCUGGAAGACGUCGUGGCCUAAAGGAUAAAACGACCGGUAUAUUCGUAUCGGGAGAUGCGAUUGUGCCGGUGUUCGAAUCCCGCAGGCAGUCCAAAUAUUUUUAAUGAAAUACAUACUUGACUCAUAAUCACGAUUGCGGAAUAACAUAAUGAGCAAAAAACAAGGAAAAUGAGUAAUCACCAUAAUAUAAUAAUCAUAGACCUCGAGUGUCAUUUUCAAGACCCCAAGUCUCAAGGUGUAUGGCGCCAUUCACGCUAUGAGGUCAAUGGGCUCUGAUAACAGCUUAACUAUGCCGUGAAAUGGAUCACCGGUGUGUCACUAUGCAAUUGAUAAUA